rnacentral:tRNA from 1 species
ACAUAUUUAGACUAAUUGGCAAGUCGUCACCAUCCCCCGUGUGAAAACCUCAGUUCGAUUCCGAGAAUAUGUA